rnacentral:rRNA from 1 species
UGCAGUCGAGCGGUAGCACAGAGAGCUUGCUCUCGGGUGACGAGCGGCGGACGGGUGAGUAAUGUCUGGGAAACUGCCUGAUGGAGGGGGAUAACUACUGGAAACGGUAGCUAAUACCGCAUAACGUCGCAAGACCAAAGUGGGGGACCUUCGGGCCUCAUGCCAUCAGAUGUGCCCAGAUGGGAUUAGCUAGUAGGUGGGGUAACGGCUCACCUAGGCGACGAUCCCUAGCUGGUCUGAGAGGAUGACCAGCCACACUGGAACUGAGACACGGUCCAGACUCCUACGGGAGGCAGCAGUGGGGAAUAUUGCACAAUGGGCGCAAGCCUGAUGCAGCCAUGCCGCGUGUGUGAAGAAGGCCUUCGGGUUGUAAAGCACUUUCAGCGGGGAGGAAGGCGUUAAGGUUAAUAACCUUGGCGAUUGACGUUACCCGCAGAAGAAGCACCGGCUAACUCCGUGCCAGCAGCCGCGGUAAUACGGAGGGUGCAAGCGUUAAUCGGAAUUACUGGGCGUAAAGCGCACGCAGGCGGUCUGUCAAGUCGGAUGUGAAAUCCCCGGGCUCAACCUGGGAACUGCAUUCGAAACUGGCAGGCUAGAGUCUUGUAGAGGGGGGUAGAAUUCCAGGUGUAGCGGUGAAAUGCGUAGAGAUCUGGAGGAAUACCGGUGGCGAAGGCGGCCCCCUGGACAAAGACUGACGCUCAGGUGCGAAAGCGUGGGGAGCAAACAGGAUUAGAUACCCUGGUAGUCCACGCCGUAAACGAUGUCGAUUUGGAGGUUGUGCCCUUGAGGCGUGGCUUCCGGAGCUAACGCGUUAAAUCGACCGCCUGGGGAGUACGGCCGCAAGGUUAAAACUCAAAUGAAUUGACGGGGGCCCGCACAAGCGGUGGAGCAUGUGGUUUAAUUCGAUGCAACGCGAAGAACCUUACCUGGUCUUGACAUCCACAGAACUUUCCAGAGAUGGAUUGGUGCCUUCGGGAACUGUGAGACAGGUGCUGCAUGGCUGUCGUCAGCUCGUGUUGUGAAAUGUUGGGUUAAGUCCCGCAACGAGCGCAACCCUUAUCCUUUGUUGCCAGCGGUUCGGCCGGGAACUCAAAGGAGACUGCCAGUGAUAAACUGGAGGAAGGUGGGGAUGACGUCAAGUCAUCAUGGCCCUUACGACCAGGGCUACACACGUGCUACAAUGGCAUAUACAAAGAGAAGCGACCUCGCGAGAGCAAGCGGACCUCAUAAAGUAUGUCGUAGUCCGGAUUGGAGUCUGCAACUCGACUCCAUGAAGUCGGAAUCGCUAGUAAUCGUAGAUCAGAAUGCUACGGUGAAUACGUUCCCGGGCCUUGUACACACCGCCCGUCACACCAUGGGAGUGGGUUGCAAAAGAAGUAGGUAGCUUAACCUUCGGGAGGGCG